GGGAUCACUCGGCUCGUGGG
rnacentral:rRNA from 1 species